AGCCCGAGGAGGGGCUCAAACUCACAGACCUCGAGGUCAUGACCUGAGCCAAAGUCGGAAGCUCAACCCACCGAGCCACCCAGGGGCUGACAAUUGGAGACAUUUAAGUGCAGACUGUGUAUUCGUCUCUAAUUCUUUAGCAGCCUCAGAGCAGAAGGGCUAAGGAAGAGACAACAAUGGGAGCUUAGUGCCCGCCAAGGGGAGGGGAUCUGGUUAACACCUUCAGCUAAAGUCGGAGCCCCAGAGGGAUACACCCUAGGGGAAGGGGUGUACCAAUCAGCUCUCAGAGCAACCAAAGACUGAGUCUGAUCAGCUCAGACCCUAUUUGGAUUAAAAGAAUCUGCCUCCCCCACCUCCACCUCCCCAUUCUCACUGUGUGAGAACCUGAUCCACUUGAGACAAAGCUAAUACCUUUUCAAGUUGGAACUAUGCCUGCAGCUCCGUGACAGGAGUUAACACCCAUUGGGUAUUUACUUCAUGCCAGAUAUGGUUCUAAGGUGCUUUCGUAUAUUAUUUCCUUUAAUCUCCACAGAAACCCUGUAAUGCAGGUCUGGCACUGGUUUUACAGAUGACGAGCAUAAGGGACAGACGUCUCAAGGAACCGGUUCCUACCCCUGAGCUAACAAGUGGCAUACUCAGGUUCUGAAUCCAGCCGAUCCGGGUCCAACAUUUCCCACCUUAAUUGCAAUGGUAUUCAUUGUUAUCAGCCUCUCAUCUGAUCUUGAGGCUUGUGCAUCUCGACUUCUGAUCUCAUCGUGACUAUCUCAAAGGAUCACUAAAUCUCCAAAGUCAAAGUCCCGCUUGCUCGGGGAACCAGUCCCCUUCCCUCCAGUUUUGCAGGUGUAAUACGCCCAUGGGUCGUGCACCGUGUGGUUUUUAUCAUCACAGUGGGGACUCAAGUUUUCGGAAGGAUACACCAGGCUGGGCUUCCACAUGGAUGUGUUUGCUCACGUCUCACACUUCACUUGGUAUGGCCAGAACAUGGCUGUCUUAGACUUCCUCAAAUCCCAAGGAUCUCAUGGUUUCUGGACUUAAUGGUGACUGGCUUCUACCAUAGUGAGCCUAUAUGCUAUCCAGUCUCCUCCAUUUUUCUUGCUUCUUCCAGCUGACUAACCCCCACAGGGAAGUGGGGUUAACACAACUGAAAUGUCUGGGGUUUUGGUUUUUUUUUUUUUUUUGAAUGGUGCUUUUGUGAAUGAUCACAGCUUCUUUCUUGAAGCUUGAAACACCUGGAAAUAAAGGAACAGUAUAUUCC